GAUGCUUGAUUGAACCGCAUGGUUCAAUCAUAAAAGGUGGCUUUUAGCUACCACUUGCAGAUGGACCCGCGGCGCAUUAGCUAGUUGGUGAGGUAACGGCUCAGCAAGGCGACGAUGCGUAGCCGACCUGAGAGGGUGAUCGGCCACACUGGGACUGAGACACGGUCCAGACUCCUACGGGAGGCAGCAGUAGGGAAUCUUCCGCAAUGGACGAAAGUCUGACGGAGCAACGCCGCGUGAGUGAUGAAGGUUUUCGGAUCGUAAAACUCUGUUGUUAGGGAAGAACAAGUACCGUUCGAAUAGGGCGGUACCUUGACGGUACCUAACCAGAAAGCCACGGCUAACUACGUGCCAGCAGCCGCGGUAAUACGUAGGUGGCAAGCGUUGUCCGGAAUUAUUGGGCGUAAAGCGCGCGCAGGCGGUUUCUUAAGUCUGAUGUGAAAGCCCCCGGCUCAACCGGGGAGGGUCAUUGGAAACUGGGGAACUUGAGUGCAGAAGAGGAGAGUGGAAUUCCACGUGUAGCGGUGAAAUGCGUAGAGAUGUGGAGGAACACCAGUGGCGAAGGCGACUCUCUGGUCUGUAACUGACGCUGAGGCGC
rnacentral:rRNA from 1 species